rnacentral:lncRNA from 1 species
AACACCUGUGGGGCAUUCCUUUUUGAACAGUACCCCUUCCCUUGAUGUCUGCAAUAUCACCUUUCUUAUAGAUUAGCAUAUAUGUGGCCAAAGGAACAACUCCAUGUUUUUGUAAAGGCCUAGAGAACAUAUAUCCAGUGCCUUUCCUUUUUGCCUUUGUAUUCAUCAUUUUGGCAAAUUACUGGAAGAUGACGGUUCUGGCCAAAAGGCUGGUUUUGUUUUUGGGUCACAUUUUCUUGCUUCUCUGCGUUAGAAUCUUGGAUUAGAUGAUGGACAUGGUGAAGAUGGAAAAUAUGAGGUGCAGAGAAGUGAUGGAAAAAAGAGAAGAUCAGGAUUUCAGUUUUUUUCUGCAUUUCUCAUCAUCCCAUGAAGUCUCUUGAUAACAUAAGCCAAGUUUUCAUAUACCUUGACGUGUGUGAUACUUACGUGGUGCCAAGAACAAGAUGCAUACUCAAUAAAUAUUCAUCACUAUAGGCAAAAGCGGGCACAGAUGGAAAAUAAAAUUAUUUGAAGGAGACAAAAUCCUACUAGAGAGAAGGGGCCUGCUUCAAGCACAUAACUGGAUUCUACCUCAAGACAAUCUGCCACAUUUGAAGCUUGGAAUCUUCAAAGAGCAGAAUAGAAUGUGCUGUACUCUUUCAGGACUAAAGAGACAAAGACUUCUAGGGUCUCAAUCGACAGCCUUGGAGGAACAUGUCUAAGGAAUAGGGGUGAACCAGAGAAGACCUAGCUUACUGAAAUUACAAUGUGGUCCCAAUCCAGCUAAACCCCUGGUUGGAUUGAGGUAAUCAAUCUCUCACCCUAUCUACAGAAGAAAAGAGAAACUCAUGGUGGAGUAAGAUGCCAUCUGGAGCCUCUAUGAUUCAUUUAUAUAUAUCCUACAGAAUACAGUCAAAAUUGCUAGAUAUGCAAAAACACAGGAAAAGGUGAUUUAAAAAUCAAAACAGAAAAUAGAAGUAGACACAUCAUGUUGGAUUUAGCAGACAAUGAUUUGAAACUAACCAUGAUUGAUAUGUCAAAAAUGUAUGAAAGUUGAUAAAAAAGAAUAAGAUGUGUGUUAAAAAAAAAAAAAA